rnacentral:rRNA from 1 species
CAGCAGCCGCGGUAAUACGGAGGGUGCAAGCGUUAAUCGGAAUUACUGGGCGUAAAGCGUGCGUAGGCGGUUCGUUAAGUCUGUUGUGAAAGCCCCGGGCUCAACCUGGGAAUGGCAAUGGAUACUGGCGAGCUAGAGUGUGUCAGAGGAUGGUGGAAUUCCCGGUGUAGCGGUGAAAUGCGUAGAGAUCGGGAGGAACAUCUGCGGCGAAGGCGACUAUCUGGGCCAACACUGACACUGAGGCACGAAAGCGUGGGGAGCAAACAGGAUUAGAUACCCGUGUAGUCCCUGACUCUUAUAC